AUUGAACGCUGGCGGCAUGCUUUACACAUGCAAGUCGAACGGCAGCGCGGGCUUCGGCCUGGCGGCGAGUGGCGAACGGGUGAGUAAUACAUCGGAACGUGCCCAGUAGUGGGGGAUAGCUCGGCGAAAGCCGGAUUAAUACCGCAUACGACCUGAGGGUGAAAGCGGGGGAUCUUCGGACCUCGCGCUAUUGGAGCGGCCGAUGGCAGAUUAGCUAGUUGGUGGGGUAAAGGCCUACCAAGGCGACGAUCUGUAGCUGGUCUGAGAGGACGACCAGCCACACUGGGACUGAGACACGGCCCAGACUCCUACGGGAGGCAGCAGUAGGGAAUCUUCCGCAAUGGGCGAAAGCCUGACGGAGCAACGCCGCGUGAGUGAUGAAGGUCUUCGGAUCGUAAAACUCUGUUAUUAGGGAAGAACAUAUGUGUAAGUAACUGUGCACAUCUUGACGGUACCUAAUCAGAAAGCCACGGCUAACUACGUG
rnacentral:rRNA from 1 species